CCUACGGGUGGCAGCAGUGAGGAAUAUUGGUCAAUGGACGAGAGUCUGAACCAGCCAAGUAGCGUGAAGGAUGACUGCCCUAUGGGUUGUAAACUUCUUUUAUAUGGGAAUAAAAUGUUCCACGUGUGGGAUUUUGUAUGUACCAUAUGAAUAAGGAUCGGCUAACUCCGUGCCAGCAGCCGCGGUAAUACGGAGGAUCCGAGCGUUAUCCGGAUUUAUUGGGUUUAAAGGGAGCGUAGGUGGAUUGUUAAGUCAGUUGUGAAAGUUUGCGGCUCAACCGUAAAAUUGCAGUUGAAAAUGGCAGUCUUGAGUACAGUAGAGGUGGGCGGAAUUCGUGGUGUAGCGGUGAAAUGCUAAGAUAUCACGAAGAACUCCGAUUGCGAAGGCAGUUCACUGGACUGCAACUGACACUGAGGCUCGAAAGUGUGGGUAUCAAACAGGAUUAGAUACCCCUGUAGUC
rnacentral:rRNA from 1 species